rnacentral:lncRNA from 1 species
GUUUUCUCCCACUGCAGCCCCAGUCCCUGUUUUCUCCCACUGCAGCCCCAGUCCCUGUUUUCUCCCACUACAGCCCCAGUCCCUGUUUUCUCCCACUGCAGCCCCAGUCCCUGUUUUCUUCCCACUACAGCCCCAGUCCUGUUUUCUCCCACUUACAGCCCCAUCCUGUUUUCUCCCACGCAGCCCCAGUCCCUGUUUUCUCCCACUGCAGCCCCUGUUUUCUCCCACUGCAGCCCCGUCCCUGUUUCUCACACUGCAGCCCCAGUCCCUGUUUUCUCCCACUGCAGCCCAGACCCUGUUUUCUCCCACUGCAGCCCAGUCCCGGUUUUCUCCCACUGCAGCCCAGACCCUGUUUUCUCCCACUGCAGCCCCAGUCCCUGUUUUCUCCCACUGCAGCCCCAGACCCUGUUCUCUCCCACGUAGCCCAGACCCUGUUUCUCCCACUGCAGCCCCAGACCCUGUUUUCUCCCACUACAGCCCCAGUCCCUGUUUUCUCCACUGCAGGCCCAGCCCUGUUUUCUCCCACUGCAGCCCAUACCCUUCUCCCACUGCAGCCCCAGUCCCUGUUUUCUCCCACUGCAGCCCAGUCCCUGUUUUCUCCCACUGCAGCCCAGACCCUGUUUUCUCCCACUGCAGCAGGCUGAUAAAGCUGGUGCUAGGCAGGUCAUGGGGACCAGUGGAGAGGACCAGGCUAGGGCAGGGCAUCACAGCAUUUCAGGGCUAUAGGCUUGCAGGAUGUUAUGCUUGGU